CCUACGGGAGACAGCAGUGGGGAAUAUUGGGCAAUGGGCGCAAGCCUGACCCAGCAACGCCGCGUGAAGGAAGAAGGCUUUCGGGUUGUAAACUUCUUUUGUCAGGGACGAAGCAAGUGACGGUACCUGACGAAUAAGCCACGGCUAACUACGUGCCAGCAGCCGCGGGAAUACGUAGGUGGCAAGCGUUAUCCGGAUUUACUGGGUGUAAAGGGCGUGUAGGCGGGACUGCAAGUCAGAUGUGAAAACCACGGGCUCAACCUGUGGCCUGCAUUUGAAACUGUAGUUCUUGCGUACUGGUGAGGCAGCCGGAAUUCCUCGUGUAGCGGUGAAAUGCGUAGAUAUUAGGAGGAACCCCAGUGGCGAAGGCGGUCUGCUGGACAGCAACUGACGCUGAGGCGCGAAAGCGUGGGGAGCAAACAGGAUUAGAUACCCUUGUAGUC
rnacentral:rRNA from 1 species